rnacentral:lncRNA from 1 species
UUUUUUUUUUUGAUAAAAAUUUACAAAUUUUAUUGAAACUAUGAAUUAUUUUAAAUCAGCUUUUUUAACCGUUCAAAAUUUUUAUUUUACGAUUUUACCUUCUAAUUUGUUUAAUUUAUAAUAGUUAAUAGUAUCUAUUAGAUAAAAUAAAGUGAGGAUAAAAAUAUAUAAGGAUAUGCUCUGCGUUCUCCGGUGAGACCGCAGAAAAUAUAUCGUAACCGACUCAUCGUGAUAUACAGCAGAAAAUAUAUCGUAACCGACUCAUUGUGAUAUACAGAACGCAAUAGUACGUAAGGAAACAAACAACAUAUUUUUUCAUUGUACUUUCUCACUGUACGUAACGCAAUCUCCUCCUAAUUCCAAACGAAACCUAAAAUUUAACAUAAUUAUUUAUAUUAAUAAAUUUAUGUACUCUGUAAAGAUAAAAGACAUAUUCAAAUUCGUUUGGGAUUGGAGGGAGAUUGUGUUACGUGCAGUGAAAAAUUACGAUAAAAAAAUAUGCUGUUUGUUUCUUUACGUGAUAUUGCGUUCUGCAUAUCAUGAUGAGUCGGUUACGAUAUAUUUUUUGUAGUCCCACCGGAGAACGCAGAAGUAUAUCCUUAUAUGCUUUUACUCUAACUUCACUUUAUCUAAUAGUGCCAGAUAGGCCUCAAUACCAAACCAAGCCUACCUAGCAUUAAACAAGCUCAAAAACUAGAUAUUAGAAUCAAAAUUUUGAAAU